rnacentral:rRNA from 1 species
CAGUUCGGAUCGGAGUCUGNAACCCGACUCCGUGAAGCUGGAUUCGCUAGUAAUCGCGCAUCAGCCAUGGCGCGGUGAAUACGUUCCCGGGCCUUGUACACACCGCCCGUCAAGCCAUGGGAGCCGGGGGGUGCUUGAAGUGCGUCGCCGCGAGGCGCGCCCUAGAGCAAAACCGGUGACUGGGGCUAAGUCGUAACAAGGUAUC